UGUGUCCCUGGCCCGAGAGCCGCGUCUAAACAGCCAACACUCGUGUAUAUAUAAUCACUCGUUUUUCACACUGACUCGUAUAUUUUUGCUUCUGCAGACGACACGGACAGACACACACACCUGCAAGUUUUUUUUUUUUAGGGGGGAACUCUUUAUCCUGAACUUUGAAUGAUUCUUACGAGGGCUAAGAGGUUAUACUCUCCCACCUCAACAGUUUGCCGACAGUCCUUUUACAACCCAGGCCAAGGGGGAGCUGUUUAAAGAUCGAACAUUCCCGUAACGAUGACAGGUAUCCAGAACCUUGCCUUGUCAUGACUUCCACGAUCCGACCAAAGACAACUCGGCGUAAGAUGCAGACUGUCGUGCACCUAUCUCAGCAUCAAGCUACGAUAAAAUCAGCAUUUCAUCCUCAGCAGCGAGAAAAGAGUGAUAACGUGGUGAACAGUCUGCUCAGAAGCCUGGAGCUCAGCGAUUGAUGCAAAUGAGUUGAUGGUAUUAACAUUCUACCUCUCAAUAAAGGAAAACAGUUUUCCAGAUCCGUAGCUAUACGAGACAAAGAAACACAUGCGUUACUCGAGCUUGGCUACGAGAGUUGGACGGCCCCCCUUAUCAUCCACACUCCUCAGUGUUUCUAGACAACGAUACCAAUCAACGAGCGAGUCAAGCCACCAGUCGCCAGCUUUGAAGUCCUAGGAUCUCUUCACCGUUUGAGGAGAGAUAGAGAAUAGAAUCGAAUGGGACAGCUUGGUGUCAAGAUAGAAACUUUAGAGUCUGACCGAAAAACACAAUCCCUAGGUGAGCACAGACACGAGACCGGAUCAAGCAAUCAAACCCAUACCGGUCA